UUGGAGGGCAAGUCUGGUGCCAGCAGCCGCGGUAAUUCCAGCUCCAAUAGCGUAUAUUAAAGUUGUUGCAGUUAAAAAGCUCGUAGUUGAAUUUCGGGGUUAGUAGGUUGGUCAUGCCUCUGGUGUGUACUGGUCUCACUGAUUCCUCCUUCCUGAUGAGCCGUAAUGCCAUUAAUUUGGUGUUGCGGGGAAUUUGGACUGUUACUUUGAAAAAAUUAGAGUGUUUAAAGCAAGCUAACGCUUGAAUACAUUAGCAUGGAAUAAUGAAAUAGGACGUUCGAUCCUAUUUUGUUGGCUUCUAGGAUUGACGUAAUGAUUAAUAGGGAUAGUUGGGGGCAUUAGUAUUCAAUUGUCAGAGGUGAAAUUCUUGGAUUUAUUGAAGACUAACUACUGCGAAAGCAUUUGCCAAGGAUGUUUUCAUUAAUCAAGAACGAAAGUUAGGGGAUCGAAGACGAUCAGAUACCGUCGUAGUCUUAACCAUAAACUAUGCCGACUAGGGAUCGGAUGAUGUUAAUUUUUUAAUGACUCAUUCGGCGCCUUACGGGAAAC
rnacentral:rRNA from 1 species